rnacentral:miRNA from 1 species
UGUGUAACAUCUCAUUCAGUGGGU